rnacentral:rRNA from 1 species
CACGAAGGUUUCGGCCUUAGUGGCGGACGGGUGAGUAACGCGUAGGUAUCUAUCCAUGGGUGGGGGAUAACACUGGGAAACUGGUGCUAAUACCGCAUGACACCUGAGGGUCAAAGGCGCACGCCGCGUGGGGGCCACCCGGCUUUUUAUUAUUUAGUUGGUGGGGUACAGGCCUACCAAGGCGAUAUUCAAUAGCUGGUUUGAGAGGAUGAUCAGCCACACUGGGACUGAGACACGGCCCAGACUCCUACGGGAGGCAGCAGUGGGGAAUAUUGGACAAUGGGGGCAACCUGAUCCAGCAAUGCCGCGUGUGUGAAGAAGUCCUUCCGAAUGUAAAGACCUUCCAACGGGACCAAUGAUGACCGUACCC